UCAGAACAGCUAAUGAAGAAACAAGAAGCUACUUCCUUUGCCCCGUGUAGGAGGGAGAUGCUUCUUGUUUCUUCAUUAGCUGUUCUGAACUUGCUGUAAACCUUGGUGAACAAGUUAAAGGGCAAAAAAAAAAGAGGUGCUGCUGUGUAUCAAACCAAAGAUGUUGCUGUUGCCUUUGUUACUCUGAACUCUAUAAUUCUUCUGUGUGCUGAACCUAUAUGACUGUAGAAAUGCUGCUAGCUAUUGGAGACGCAAAUGGGCUCUCUGGUAAGUUCAGUCCUUGGCUGUCCGGGUCCAUGUAAUUGGUCUCUGUAUGCCUGAA
rnacentral:misc_RNA from 1 species